CGUCUAUAUACGUAUAGCAUAUCAAUAAGCGGAGGAAAAGAAACUAACUAGGAUUCCCUUAGUAACGGCGAGUGAAGCGGGAAGAGCUCAAAUUUGAAAUCUUCAAGGUUUUACCUUGACGAAUUGUAGUUUAAAGAAGUGUUUUCUGUUGGAGUUUUGGUAAAAGUUCUUUGGAAUAGGACAUCAUAGAGGGUGAGAAUCCCGUAUUUGACCAUUAUUUCCAGCUUUGUGAUACACUUUCAAAGAGUCGGAUUGUUUGGGAAUGCAGUCCAAAAUGGGUGGUAAAUUUCAUCUAAAGCUAAAUAUUGGCGAGAGACCGAUAGCGAACAAGUACCGUGAGGGAAAGAUGAAAAGAACUUUGAAAAGAGAGUUAAACAGUACGUGAAAUUGUCAGAAGGGAAGCGUUUGACACCAGUGUUGCUUUUCUCGAAAAUCAAUUAAAAGGAUGGAUUUUGUUUUAGGAGUUAUGACUUCAUCAGCUUCUGCUUCUUUCUUUACGUACUUUCUUAAUGCACUUUUCGUUUAACAAGUCAACAUCAAUUUCUUUUGUUGUAAAAGGAGUCAUUCGGAAGGUGGCUUUCUUUUCGGAGAAAGUGUUUAUAGCCCUAUACUUCUACAAUCGGAGAGAUUGAGGUCUGCAGCGUAGAUCCUUCGGGGUUAGAUACACUUGUGCUAAGUUAUAGCUUUUCAUAGACAACUUGUUGACUAUGUUUAGUCAUGUCGCUUACUCGCUUGUGCUAUUUUACCUACGCUUAGGAUGUUGACUGAUAUGUAGUCGU
rnacentral:rRNA from 1 species